ensembl:lncRNA
AUGGAGAGAAGCCAGAAGAAUGCCAGCAGAAAGAGUCGACGCAGGGCAGCACGGCAGGCAAAGCUGAAGGACCUCUUCUCUACGAAAGAUCCCAAACCAGAUCAGGCUCACGAUAAGGAAGCGUCGCCUUUGGAGCCACCAUCAGACAGUACGAAGCAGGGCGAACCCCUGAGGAAAUCGUUUUUGGGCUCUCCGUCGUGUUCCGAAGGCUCUUCCGCCGAUCCAAAAGGUGACAUCUCACCAGCACAGAGCGGAGAAUCUUCCGAGGCAGAAAAAUCCGAGAGCAUCGAUACUGUCCAUCCUCUGAGUGCAAAAAGGAGCGAGGUGACAGCAGCGACACAUGCCAGACAACCACAUUUAGAGGAGAAACUGGAACAGAAGCAGCAUUCUGCUGCAUUUAUAACAGGGGAAAACGGACAUAGGCCAUUGCAGAGUAUGAGACGAAGAGAUGAUAGAGUCUGUAUUGUCCACAACACAGGAGAGGAAUCACAUAGCGAUGUCCGUUUGACAGAGCACCCAGAAGGCCCUGUCAACGCACCCGGUAGCUUUACGUUCGGGACCGUGCUGGCUCCCCUCUACCCCCUGGUGUGUGGCCAGCUGAAAAGUGAAGAUCGCAACCUGGCUGAUCAAUUGAAAUCAUUGAGAGGGCCUUCACAGAUGGGAGCCUCAAUGGAGAACAGCAUGUUGACGGAUUCGACUAAAAACUACGAGGAGUCUUCUGGGAUCAGGCCAGAUCCGUUCAAGCCUCCUCUGAAUGAUACCGAUAGAACUGUUCCGAUAGAGGGAAAAUUGUGUGUAAGCGUGGUUGCAGACUCAAGCACAAACCCUACAGAUGUCGACUGUCAGGAAUCAGAGCAUGAAUGCACAGAGGCACCAAAUAAUCCCCAGCCGACCACGGAUGAAGACAUGACUCCUUCAGAUGAAAACAAUGAGAAGUCGAACGCAUGCACCACCAGAGCGGGUUUAAAUCACCAGGGGAACUCUGACGAAGGCCCUCAGGCCCUUGGGUGUCAACUGCAGAUUCUGUAUGAAAAGCAAAUAAUGGAAGCUACAGCAGAGCCUGAAACAGAAGCAGAGGAAGUGUUUUCGUAUAUUCAGACGCAAUUAAACCCAUCGCAGCCACCCUCACAACCGAAAGUCCAGCAGGAAACCAGUCAUUGCGCGCCACUGCCGCACUCGCCUCCGUUGGUGUCAGCGUGUGAAAACAAAGCGCUGGAGCAACAGCUCUGCUGUGAGGUGGCGGCGGUAGACUUCAUUUGCACAGGUGAGUCGAAUGAACAGGAUGGUGUUCCGCCCACUGAGGCUGUGUCAACAACUCAUGUGUACCCGGAACAGGGCAGAGAAAGAGAGCAACUGGAGGAGCUGGAUCCUAAAUGUUUUAUGCGUCCUGUUACGUUUGAGGCCGCUGAUAUAUCGGUCGGGGAUAAAAGUAUCCCAGAGUUGGAAGCUGGGCAUGGAGGCUCUGCUAUCGAUCUCAGCCAAGAGACCCUGAAAGCAUCAAUGGAGGAUGGUGAAGAACCGGACAACGGAGGGAAUGAAUCAACAAACAAUAUAGAGGAAGGGGAUAUAACCCCUACAGUUGAACAUGAGGACAGUGUGGAUGUAUCUGAGUUUAUCAAAGUGAAUAAAACCCCUUGUACACACCUAGACAUGUUGGCUGAAGAAAUUGGACUAACUCUGGUAGAAGAAACUAUUUUAAUGCAAUCAGAGGCUGAACGCUGCGCAAGUGAAGACGCAGCCACAAAAAAGGACUACCUCAGGCCAGAUGAAGAGAAAGCCGAGGACAGAAACUGGGAAAUGAUGGUCAAAGAAGAGGAAAACAAUGCAUCAGGCAAAGAGGUCAUGAGGAAAGAGGUUGACGAAAAUGGUGAGAGAGGAGAGAACGACAAGCUGAAAGAAAAGCAAACGAUCACAGAGCAACAACCUUUGGAGAAUGUGGUGGGCUGUGAAAAGAGAGAGCCAACUAAUACAGGGUCUGAUGGACAAAAAAGUUUUGAUUCGACAGAAGUGAAAAGUCAAGUUGAAGUUGAAACUGUGAAGGAACCCCUCGUUUUGGAGGAACAGGAAGUGGAAGAGGAAAAGGUUGAGAAAGAUGGUGAUCAUGACACAGAGAACCAGCAUGAAGUAUUGGAGGAAAUAAGGAGCAAAGAGAAGGAAAACCUAGCUGAAACCGACAUAGAAACUCAGGUAGAAGUAGAAGCUCAGGCAGAGCGAAUUUCAGCCGCUGUUGAGGUUCAUGGAGCAGGGAAAGGAGGGGUGGCGGUGGAGACAGGUGAGGAGAUUGUGGUCGGAACAGCGAAAGAAGAGAGAAACGAAGAGACGGAGAGGCCAGAGAUGGGGUCACACGCUGGUCAAAGGCAAAUGGAGAGCGAUCCAUCUACGCCAGUGAGCAAUGUGCAUGAGUGUGAGGUAGAAAGGGUAAUAGCCAAAGAAAACGCCCCGAAAAAUGAAACCACAAAUUUCCAGACUGAAAUGGAGUUUAUCUCAGAAGAAGAGGUGCGAAGCAUCACUUACAGGUUACACCUUGCAAGCGGCCAAUCAAAAGCACUUUCUGAAUCGUCCCGAUGUGGAAGUGAUUCGUGGGCAGCAGACAAAGGGUCACGUGCCUCGACCGACGAGCCGGAAUGGGAUGUAACAGCCGAGGAGCGGGAGGUGGACAGCAACUCCAGUGACUCUCCGUCGGAUGAAGAGAUGGAGUUGUACAUGCACCGCCUGCGGGCAGCGCCAUCCCCCCAAACUUUCAGAAGCUUCCCCAGAGAUCGUGGCUCACGUACGGGUAAAGGACUCUCGAUAGACGGACCAAAGCUCCUGUCUUCGUCCAUGCCAUCCAUCAGUGAAUCUGUGAAUGAGGAACAGCUCACAAAGAUCCCGGACAAGCCAGAAAAGAAGGAAGUAGAGAACUUCCAGUCCGACUCUGGACAAUUUCCAACACAGGACAAUCAGGAAUAUGGAGGCGUAAACAUUGCCCAGUGGACGUCCAAAUUAUCUUGCAGUAAUAUCUUAAAGGCACUUUUAUACAUCACCAUGUGUGCUUUAUUUGUAGUUGUCGGAUACCAUUAUGAUUUCCUGGCGUGUUUUGCUCUUUACUUGUUGUCCAUAUUUUGGCUGUAUUGCCGAGCAGACCGUCAGUCGGAAACAACAAUGUUCUGA